AUGCCACCUACCCUUUCUCUUUAGUCUUCCUUUUCCUCUUACCUUUCUAUCGUCAUUUUCUUCAAGAACUUUCUAGGACUAUACGUAAUUAACUUGCUCCAAAUCCCCAGAGCCCUCAAAAUUAAACACAAACCAAAUCAAAAUAUCAUAAAACCCAAACCAUAGAAUCGAUCGAUCAUGGCGCGAGGAAAUCAACCGGAGACGGAGUACUUGCUCGGAUUUCAUCAACAAUAUCCGAUUCACCAGAGUCAAACGAGUCGCAUCUGACGCCGGAUUUGUGGCCAAGGAGCUGUUGAAGAGCACCGGUAAGGCGGAAUGGGCGAUGCCCUUAUUUAGUUUGAAGCCAACGUUAUUGGUGGUGGUGGUGUUGAGUUCAUCCAUGGGAUGUGGUUAUGCUAAACGAUCAGAAACAGAAUUGGUGUAUCACUUUCAUUGUCAUCCAAUACAUACGUAAGUAAUUUGGUUAGGUUUGAAAUGAGAAUAACCUGAAAAGGUAGGUGUAUAGUUGGAAAGUUAUUCUUUUCGAUUUUUGAGUAAUUGCAUGUCAAUCCCUGAAGUAUGAGCCUUUUUUGUGUUGUUCAUACUUCAUACUAUUCUAAAAAUGUGAAUGAUGUAUUUGAAUAUCUAGAACAGCCUAGAGCAUGGAGAACAAAAAUCUAAUCUAUUUGAACGAUACUAAUGGCAAAACAAUAGCUUUUACAAUAUAGGUAAAAGUGGUUAGGCUUUGGAGAAAACCAAAUCCUAAAAAAAGUUGGUGAGAUAUGGGCUAUUGGGAUGGUGCUCAUGGAUGAAACGGUACAUCGGGUAAGACAACAAAUGUAGUGUACAAGGAGAUUUUUAGUGAAACGCAUGAUCCAGUUUCAGUUUUACGGAUUAAGGUGCCCUUUCAUGGUGGUGUGAAAUGGGAAAUGGAUAAGAGUUAUUUUUUUUUCUCUAAAAUAUGUUGUGGAAAACUUACGUGGUAAAAUGGGUGAUUUCAAAAAGUAUUUAUUUGUGAUCAUUUGACCAUGAGUAAAUAACUCUGCUACUAAAAAGGGCAAUCACAAACUCACUAUCCGAGAGGUAAUUCUUGGUGUUGGGGUUGAUGAUUUACAUACAUGUGGAUCACUAUAGUCAAAAGAUUCGGCUUAUUUGCUAUCAGUUUAUGGACCACCUUGCAAACAUCAAAGAAUGAGUGAUUCAUACUUUGUUUUGUUAGUCGACAUGUGUAGAAUGAUUAUUGUUUCUUUUUAUUUUAGGGGCUAUGAUGAUAACUCACUCUUUGUGCAUUGUUCAGUGUUGGCAUGUAUUUGUCUGUGCUUUUACAUCACAAUCGGAUUAUGCAGCGAUGGUGGUUUAUCCUCUUCAUUUUGAAGAUGAGAUAUUCCGUGUCUUGGCGGGGAAGCUGACAUGCUGUGGUGUUUAAGUGCUUGCAUCACAGUCGGACUAUGCAGCCAUGGCAGUUUAUCCUCUUCAUUUUGAAGAUGAGGUAUUCCGUAUCUUGGCGGGGCAUAAGCUUCACAUAUCUGAGCCUCAUUCUUCCUUUGUUUUGUAUGCUAACGGUCCUUUGUUGACAUUGUCCUUUUAUUUUUUCCCUACUUGAAUAGUUUUGGCUUUAUG
rnacentral:lncRNA from 1 species